CCCGCGGCCUAUCAGCUUGUUGGUGGGGUAAUGGCCUACCAAGGCGACGACGGGUAGCCGGCCUGAGAGGGCGACCGGCCACACUGGGACUGAGACACGGCCCAGACUCCUACGGGAGGCAGCAGUGGGGAAUAUUGCACAAUGGGCGAAAGCCUGAUGCAGCGACGCCGCGUGAGGGAUGACGGCCUUCGGGUUGUAAACCUCUUUCAGCAGGGAAGAAGCGAAAGUGACGGUACCUGCAGAAGAAGCGCCGGCUAACUACGUGCCAGCAGCCGCGGUAAUACGUAGGGCGCAAGCGUUGUCCGGAAUUAUUGGGCGUAAAGAGCUCGUAGGCGGCUUGUCACGUCGGAUGUGAAAGCCCGGGGCUUAACCCCGGGUCUGCAUUCGAUACGGGCUAGCUAGAGUGUGGUAGGGGAGAUCGGAAUUCCUGGUGUAGCGGUGAAAUGCGCAGAUAUCAGGAGGAACACCGGUGGCGAAGGCGGAUCUCUGGGCCAUUACUGACGCUGAGGAGCGAAAGCGUGGGGAGCGAACAGGAUUAGAUACCCUGGUAGUCCACGCCGUAAACGUUGGGAACUAGGUGUUGGCGACAUUCCACGUCGUCGGUGCCGCAGCUAACGCA
rnacentral:rRNA from 1 species